CACACCCGGGCUGCCCGUCGCUUGGGAGCGGCGCCCACUGGAAAUGUGGGGAGGAUGCGGCGAGGCGGCCGCGGGUGACCGCUGGCAGCCAUUGUGGCGUGCUCCCGCACUGUCUUCGUGAGUCCCGACGCGCCUCUUGGCGGGGCUGGUUUGGGUCGGUGAGAGCGGAGCCGUGGCUCUGUGGUCCCCUGCAGCCUCCGCGGGGUGCCCUAUAGAGAGGGAGCCGAGCGUGCGUCUCGUCCAGCCCCGCGGGACUGUGGGUCAAAUAUUUCCACUUAACACUGCUUCCAGAGUAAUUUCAUACAAAAUUUAAACAUGGAGCCCCGAAAAUUGGGCUGCCAUAUAUUGGAAUCUACUACAUUGUAAUUUUAUUCACGUAUGGAACACCUGUAUAUACUUUUGAUUCUUGCUACAGAAACACAGUUCUGUAAAUGAAGGCCCAGCCAAAAAACCUUAAGAAGAUAGAGGUAAAAUUUUGCCUCCCCUACAGUUUCUGGUUAUGAGGUUGGGAUUUCAAUGGUUGGGACACUGAGAGAUCCUGGGACAGCUGACAAAAAGCCAG